UCCUUGACCCCGCACGCAGUGGUGGCUGUCACCAAGAAGAACGCCAACGCCUCCAUGGUCUUCUCCUUCCUCUACAAACUGGUGGAGGUGGGCGGGGGUCCCAUCUCCACCCCAAAGGAGGGGUCCCACCGGGGGGGUCCCAGUCCCCAUCCCAAUGGGGUCCCACCUCUACCCCAAUGAAGGGGUCCCACCCAGGGGGCCCCAUCUCCAUCCCAACUGGGGGUCCCACCUCCAUCCCAACGGGGUCCCAACUCCACCCCAAUGGGGGGUCCCACUCCCCAUCCCAACUGGGGGUCCCACCUGCAUCCCAACGGGGUCCCACCUCCAUCCCAAUGGGGUCUCACCUCCAUCCCAGCUGGGGGUCCCACCUCCAUCCCAAUGGGGGGGGCCCCAUCUCCAUCCCAAUGGGGUCCCACCUCCAUCCCAAUGGGGGUCCCACCUCCAUCCCAAUGGGGGACCCCACUUUCACCCUAACAGGGGUCCCACCUCCAUCCCAACUGG
rnacentral:lncRNA from 1 species